rnacentral:lncRNA from 1 species
ACGUCUUUUUUUGGAAUGUACAACUAGCAUUUAAAAAAAAAAAAAAAAAAUUCUAACAGCUUAAAUUUUUUGAAACACAUGUUAUAACUAAAAGUUUCAAAUCCAGACGUAAAGAAAAGUGUUAAUAUAAAAAGAUUAAAAAUGUUAUGUUCUCGCAUUUUUAAGCUUUUAGAAAUAAACAAUUAUUUGACAUCGUUUUCAA